UCUGUGGUCUGUUAUUUUGUAAAAUUGCUUCCUUUUUGAAGUUUGGUUAAAUAUUGGUAGUUGCCGGAAUGAAUACUUUAUAAUGCUUUAAUUAAUUUAGUGUCUGAUUUUAUUUCAAUGAGGAUUAAGGAGACUAUUAAGCUGUUUCCUUUACUGCUUUGACAUUCUCAUUUCUAUCACUCAAGAAAGCAUUUUGCCUAAUGUGAAAUAAGUUAGUUUUUCCCUAGUUUGUCAUUAUUCUAAACAUUAGAUAAGUUACCUAUCUCAAAUACAAAUAUGUACAGCAAUUUCAUUUUUCAAUUUUUAAUGCAACAAAAUAGCAUCAUUAGUAUAUCUUUAAUGUAAUGUUUUCCAGAAAAGAUAGCAUUUCAUCCAGGAAACAUACCUUUAUGCUUAACAGGUUCAUCUCUUAAAGGAUUUUAAAAUAUGAUAACACUUACCCCAAAAGAAGUUUUGCUGACAUGGUGUCACUGUGCUGAAGAGGCUGUUUGAUGCCAUAGUCCCUCCUUUUUUUUUUCAGAUAGAUCUUUUGCCCUCUGUUGUAAAUACUGCUUGCAGUCUUAAACUGAAAAUACAAACCAUACCCAAACCUUGUUUUAGUUUUACAAUAUGCCUGGAGUACAUAGACUUUAUAUUUAUUUUUUUCUGUCAAGAAAUUAUGUAGCUGGUAACAUGUGAAAAGCAAGGAAACAAAACAAAAAGAGAAUGAGCAAAUAUUUGAAGGACCUACUAUUACUGCAUAGACUGUGGUUAGAGAGCACUCACUGACUCUGUUGGUCUCGGUGGCUGGUAGUGACCUGCGGAGAUUAACCAUUUAAAAACCAGAGACUUCUUGCUGUCCUCCUGGAGAAAGUUUGCACCGCACUUGUGGUUCUGUGGUUGUUUGUGAGGCGAAUGAAGCAUUCACACAAUCCAAAAAAGCAAAAGCUUUAAAACUCCUUUUUUUUGCAAGCACUAUUACUGGAGAGACAGAAUCAUGUGGUUUGUGACCUCACAGUGCUCAAAGUAAAGUGGGACUGCCUACCACUGUGGCUUUUUCCCUCUUGCUCUUGCUCUCUCUCUCUCUCUCUCUCUCUUUCUCUCUCUCUCUCUCUCUCUCUCUCUCUGACAAAAGACUUGUGGUAAGGCCCUUCCUGGCAUCCAGAAGGAUAUAGCUUUUUAAUUUUUGUGACUCAUGAGGAUUUGGAUAGAAUACAAAUGCUGAAGGAGCCCAAACUCCUGUAAGGUUAAGCAUUUGUAGAGCAGAAGUCUGCAGUUAAGGCUUUCCUUUCUAUCUACACCUCUUUUGCCCCCCCCCUUUUUUUUUUGCCUCUUCCUUUAUUUAGUUCAUUAUUUUAUCUGUGUAAAGUGAACAAAAUUGGCUCAAGGGGCUGUGUGAAAUUCUGAACAACAGUGAUGAUUUACAAUAAUUUACAUCUUUGGAUUGUAUCACAUUCUGGGGUCUGCUUCAUAUUUGCUGGGUGACUGAAGUCCUUCUGUUUUUCUUUUUCUUGUCUUUUUAAACUUCUGAAUCUGUAACUCAUUGUAAAAAAGUUUACCUUUCUUAAGGUCUGGUUGCAAACUGCUUGCUGGGCUUGACUAUAAUUGGCUGUCAUGAAAGUGUUAGUCUGGGAAUUCCUUUACAAAUAUUAAAUCAUGUCUGUCUAGUUUAUGUACUAUCAAUAUUAGGCGCUGGCUCCUUCAGUAAAGAUUAAAGCUGAACUGUUACAUUAUUAGAGUUGAAGGACAUUGUCAUCUAGUAGGAAAAAAAUAUUUUCUUCAGAAUUUUCACUGGCUUUGAAGCCCAAGCCCAAUAUAUUUAAUUCAUUUUUUAAAUUGAAGUAACAUUGUUAUAACAUUACAUAAGUUUCAGGAAAGAACAACAUGUCUGGGAAGAAGACAUACAGAAAGACUAAUACACAGAAACUCAAAAUGCGUCAUCCAGGGUUAAGGCUUUCUGGCAGGCAUAAUCAGAAGCCACGAGAUUAAAAUGGCCCACAUUUUUCAACUAUUGGUUUAAUUUUUUGGUGGAUCAAGGCUCAGAUGUCUGGCAACUAACUGUGAAACAGCUCCAAAUACACUCUGGAGUCUCUUUUUUCUUCAUUUGAGUAAUUAGAAAGAAUUUUAGUGUUUCAUGAUUUGUUAUAUAUACACAUUGUUGAAAUGUGGGGGAAAAAAUAUCUUAAUGGCACCAUGAUCUUCCGUUCAUCAGGAUUGAAUUUGGAAGGUGUAUUUGAAGAAAUACUUGAAGAAAAUACAAAAUAAAUGAGUGCAAUGGAACAUAAGGGAUCAUAAGAGACUAUUAUGAACAGUUAUAUGCUGAUAUAUUGAAAACCUUGAAGAAAUGGCUACAUUCCCAGAAACUUACUACUUUCUAAGACUGCAUCAAGUAGAAAUAGAAAAUCUCAAUAGACCAAUUACUUAGGCCAUCUCUCCAUUGUUCCGUAAAAGAUGACACAGAGUACGUCCAUUCUCUCUGACGAGGCUUCUGUUACUCUCUGGAAUUUGUUUACAUGAUGCCUUGUAACCUCAACUCUCGGAUGGGCUCAAGGAAAGUUAUGAUUAUGUAGAUUAUCUGGAGUUUUCUCAUUGUUAAGGUUGGAACAAUAUUCUCGAGGCUUUCUGCAUCCUAAAGCAAUAAUCUGUUCGUGACAAGCUGCUUUAGGGCACACUCCUUAAACUGUCUGGCACACAUGAUCCUCUCCUUUGAUAAUUAGUGAACUUUUGUGAAAAGUUUGAGAAGUUCUGAAUCUUAGGCCAAACAUGUAACAAACCCUCUUACACACUGAUGUAUCAAUGAGAUAGGAACUUACAGGUUGGCUUAUUACUUUCAAAUGCCUGCCUUUUCGCUCUCUAUAAAAAGGCAGCUGGAAAAUGUCAAUACAGUUGAUUCUUGUUAUUGGUAAUAGUAAAAUUCUGUAAAGAAACAUUGAACCACUGCUCCUUUGGGAAAUAAGUGCACCACACAAACACCUUUCCUAUGGACUAUAGUCUUAAAUCCUAAAAACAUGUCAUCUUAGUAGAUUCUAUUUUCUUUAUUUUACAAAAUGGAAAAUGAAAUUCAGGAUGUUAACAAAACCUGAGGCUUCCCCACUAACAGGUACCCGAGUUGACAUUCAAGACUCAUCUAGCCAGCCUUAGAGCAGGGCCUUCUUGUGCACAUAGCUGUGCCCCUGUAGUCUCAAUCCUCUGGUCACCUUCUGUGUAAGAGCUGAAAGGGGAAUGCUGAGUGUCUGUCACCAUGUUAGACCUCCACUAGGAAUAGUAUCUGGCAACUUUGCUGCUCUGCACACAUUCAUAGAAAAUCCUGAAAAUAGGGCCUCCCUGGUGGCACAGUGGUUGAUCGCUGGGUUACGAAGCUGCCCGCAGUCUCUGCAGUGCCGGUUUGCUCCCU